GUUCAGUAUUGAAAAUGUAAAUCUUAACAAGCAAUCUAGUUUUCUGAUGUGAAAUCAUCUAAGGGAAUAAAGGUUUAAACAUUUGGCAAUCAAGCAAAAUUUUCCAUGGCAUGAGCAGUUGUUAAGUCUAACACACAAAGUCCUAUGUGCUUAAAUUUGCAACUUCAGAGCAACAAGAAUACAAGAUCUACCAAUAAGCUUGCAUGUGAGAAAACUAAAUGAAAGAAAAAAUGGUCUAGA
rnacentral:misc_RNA from 1 species